GACAGAGGGUGCAACCGUUGUUCGGAAUUACUGGGCGUAAAGCGCGUGUAGGCGGCCCUGUAAGUCGGGUGUGAAAUCCCACGGCUCAACCGUGGAAGUGCAUUCGAAACUACAGGGCUAGAGUUCUGGAGAGGAAGGUGGAAUGCUUGGUGUAGAGGUGAAAUUCGUAGAUAUCAAGCGGAACACCGGUGGCGAAGGCGGCCUUCUGGACAGUAACUGACGCUGAGACGCGAAAGCGUGGGGAGCAAACAGG
rnacentral:rRNA from 1 species